GGCUCCUCAGACACGCACUUGUACGCCGUCUGUCUCGCGGAGUCUGUCACGCAGAGCUCCUUCGGAAGCAACAGGGUUCCGGCAAGGAAAUACUCGCGGAGGCUUUGAACGGGGCAAACUCUCCACUCAGGAAUGCACGCGAGCCCCAUACCUGCGCCCCUCCCAGUGGCACCGGCUGCCAGCCAGGGGGAUUCCUGGCAGGGUGAUUUGGGAAUCGGCAGACUGAAUCACAUUGCCAGGGAUUUCCAAUGGCCGGCGGGCACUGAGCACCCGGCCCCUGGGGGCCGCUUUGGGCAGGACGGAAACGGGCACCCGUCGGGUGCCACCGCCGCACGCGGCUCUGUGGUGCCAGGACUUAUCCUGCGUGUGAACACUGUGUCCUUUCCUUGUUCACAGUGGUUAAGUUCUGCCACCCCUGGGCCCCCACCGUACAGGCCAAGAAUUUGGGGAAGGACUGCCAACCCCCCUCCUCGCUACCCCCCCCCCCCCUUGUGUUUAUAGUCUCUUAUAUGUGCCUGUGUUUGAGUAACUCUCUAGAAAGGGCCAUUCCUUUGUGUGUGCCUGAUCCAUCCAGAAGCGAGGCUCACCGUUUUGUGUCAGUAACUGUAUGCAAGGUGUUCUGAUCUCACCUUUGGUCUCUCUGACCAGAAGAGGGUGCAUCUGUGUUAGACACGUCCUGGUCUCUCAGUCGGUCCAUGGGACGGUGUGAUUUCUCUCCUCGUCACCGGGCGUCAGAGCAGGUGGUGGUCUCCCGUUCGCUGAUCUCUCUUAUUCUGCUGGUCUCUCUUGUGCGCUGGUCUCCUGUGCGCUGGUCUCUGUCCCAGGCUGGUCUCACUCAUGUGCUGAUCUCCCUUGUGCUGGUCUCUCUCAUGGGCUGGACUCUCUCAUGUGCUGAUCUCCUGUGCACUAGUCUCUCUCAAGCUGGUCUCUCUCCCGGGCUGGUCUCCUGUGCCUGCUGUGCUGAUAAUCAGUGUCUCUCAUCAGCUGGCUCAGUUCAGCAGGAACAGCAGUCCUGCCCCCUCACAAGCAGCGAGAAAGGACAGGAAGUGUGCGAGAGCAACCCUACGGACAGGAGCCCUCUGCACAUCUAACCAUCAACCAGGUCACCAUCACCACCACCAUCGUUCCAGCAGACUACACUUUCGUCCAUACAGGACAUGCACAUUAAUGCUCAAUGUGUAGUCUGUAUGGAUUAGACUCACAGACUCACACUGGCCUGACUGUUGCACUACACCUCCUGUCCUUUUCUAAAUCUGAACAAAGCAAACAGCUCCUGAAGGCUAUAAAGCUCAUUUUAUUUUCAUAAUUCAGCAUACAUUAUUUUAAAAUAAUAAGAAAUAAAUUUCUCAAUGUUCAGAGGUUCAAAGUCAAACCUGGUCCAGGGUUCCCACGCCAGGCGUAUGGGAUGGGGGGGGGGGGGCACAGGAGAAUCGAAGUGGGGGGGGGGGGCAUUCCUUUCACGCUGCCACAGGAGAGUCGAAGUGUGCCCGUCUCGCCACCUGCAGGUGUGUCAGGUCUAAGAGAAUCCUGUCUGGCCCGGCAUGGGAAAGAGAGAGGGAGGGAAAAAGAGAGGGAGGAAGGGAGGGGCAGGAAGUGGUGCCUUCAAGGAGGCCAAAGAAGCAGAGGAAGGAUCACUCCAUCUUUGCUUCCAGCACUGUGUACGGGAACUUUCUCCCCAUGACCUCUAUAAAAAAAAAAAUACAAACAUACAGCAAACCUGCGAUGGCAGUGCAGACACCACUUGCACAGUACAGUACAGAGCGUGUGCGUGUGUGUAUGUGUGUGUGCGUGUGUGUGUGUGAGAGGGAGAGAGAUCUGAGAAGCAUCUCAACAAAAAAUGUCACAGUAUUUGCAUUUGAUUAAAUAAGAAAAUGUCACUGAAAAUUUCAAUAAAGGAGUGAACUGAAUUCAA